CAGUCGCCACGGUAAUACGAAGGGACCAAGCGUUGUCCGGAAUCAUUGGGCGUAAAGCGCGCGUAGGUGGCCAUUUAAGUCCGCUGUGAAAGUCAAAGGCUCAACCUUUGAAAGCCGGUGGAUACUGGAUGGCUAGAGUACGGAAGAGGCGAGUGGAAUUCCUGGUGUAGCGGUGGAAUGCGCAGAUACCAGGAGGAACACCAAUAGCGAAGGCAGCUCGCUGGGACGUUACUGACACUGAGGCGCGAAAGCGUGGGGGGCAAACAGGAUUAGAUACCCCCGUAGUCCCUGUCUCUUAUAC
rnacentral:rRNA from 1 species